rnacentral:rRNA from 1 species
AACUGCGAAUACCGGAGAAUGUUAUCACGGGAGACACACGGCGGGUGCUAAUGUCCGUCGUGAAGAGGGAAACAACCCAGACCGCCAGCUAAGGUCCCAAAGUCAUGGUUAAGUGGGAAACGAUGUGGGAAGGCCCAGACAGCCAGGAUGUUGGCUUAGAAGCAGCCAUCAUUUAAAGAAAGCGUAAUAGCUCACUGGUCGAGUCGGCCUGCGCGGAAGAUGUAACGGGGCUAAACCAUGCACCGAAGCUGCGGCAGCGACACCGUGUGUUGUUGGGUAGGGGAGCGUUCUGUAAGCCUGUGAAGGUGUGCUGUGAGGCAUGCUGGAGGUAUCAGAAGUGCGAAUGCUGACAUAAGUAACGAUAAAGCGGGUGAAAAGCCCGCUCGCCGGAAGACCAAGGGUUCCUGUCCAACGUUAAUCGGGGCAGGGUGAGUCGACCCCUAAGGCGAGGCCGAAAGGCGUAGUCGAUGGGAAACGGGUUAAUAUUCCCGUACUUGGUGUUACUGCGAAGGGGGGACGGAGAAGGCUAUGUUGGCCGGGCGACGGUUGUCCCGGUUUAAGCGUGUAGGUAUGUGUUCCAGGUAAAUCCGGUUCACUUUAACACUGAGGCGUGACGACGAGGCACUACGGUGCUGAAGCAACAAAUGCCCUGCUUCCAGGAAAAGCCUCUAAGCAUCAGGUAACAUCAAAUCGUACCCCAAACCGACACAGGUGGUCAGGUAGAGAAUACCAAGGCGCUUGAGAGAACUCGGGUGAAGGAACUAGGCAAAAUGGUGCCGUAACUUCGGGAGAAGGCACGCUGACACGUAG